rnacentral:piRNA from 1 species
UGAAUAGUCUUGAGGCCUCACACGAC